GAUCCUGGCUCAGGAUGAACGCUGGCGGCGUGCUUAACACAUGCAAGUCGAGCGAAGCACUUAGGAAAGAUUCUUCGGAUGAUUUCCUAUUUGACUGAGCGGCGGACGGGUGAGGUAACGCGUGGGUAACCUGCCUCAUACAGGGGGAUAACAGUUAGAAAUGACUGCUAAUACCGCAUAAGACCACAGCACUGCAUGGUGUAGGGGUAAAAACUCCGGUGGUAUGAGAUGGACCCGCGU
rnacentral:rRNA from 1 species